AUGACCGAAUGGUCAGCAGUACAUGUGAGGAAACCUUCAGCUACGAACACCAGAGAAAUGCAUCGCUGGGCUGCUCCGGAGACGGGAUGGGUCAAAGCCAACGCCGACGGCACCGUCUCCAGAAACGGGGGCAACGGUGCUGGAGGCCUAGUACUCCGGGGUGACCAAGGCGAUUUCCGUGCGGCUGCGUGCAACUUUUUCGCCGGUGUUGCGGACGCCGAGACAACAGAACUUAUGGCGUGCCGACGGGCGGUCGAGCUAGCUAGCGAGAUCAACGUUGAGAAGCUACAUCUGGAGACAGACAGCAAAGUGGUCGCGAGCAUGCUGGGAGACACGAACAAGAACCUGUCGGCAUCGGGGCCGCUAGUAGAGGAAAUUAAGCAGAUGCUUAGUUGGUUCAACGAUGUGAAAGUGUCAUCGGUAUGA
rnacentral:rRNA from 1 species